CUAUGCCUGCAGAAAAUCGACAAGAAUUUCCCUCUCUCUCAGACUCAACGUGGGAAGACUUGGACAUUGACCAAGACGAAAUUCCUUCCGAAUUAAAGAAUCCAUUAUGUAUACCACAAGAUAGACUUGAAGAUGUGGAUUUUUUCCCACCCUUUGGAGAUGAUUUAAUUUCAUUAAGUGGAUUAUUUCAGUCACCAAAACAUAAAUCCUCCUGUUCAGGUCAAUUUUCAUCCAAGAAACACUCCAAUACCCUUUCAUUGGAUGCUUGUGAAAACAUGAACGUACCUUUGUUUUUGAAUGAUUUUCUGGGCUUCCGAGGAAACCGUAAUCCAGAAAAACUCCAUUUUCAUGGCUCUCAGAAGCAAGAAUCUGAAGAUAAAGGGAAAGGGAAAGGGGUUUUGUACGAAUUUUUUGAAGAUAAAGGGAAAGGGAAAGGGGUUUUGUACGAAUUUUUUGAACAGACCGGCGAGAAACAGGCAAUUGAAGAUGGGUAUAAAGUUACAUCUCUAAUGAACAAGAGAUGUGGGAGCAACGGACCACAAAGCCAUUCACGGAAUUCAUCGAAAGAUACGAAACUGAGGUGCACUCAUUGCCAAGCUGAGAAGACACCACAGUGGAGAAUGGGUCCAUUGGGGCCAAAGACGCUGUGUAAUGCUUGUGGCGUGCGAUUCAAAUCUGGGAGAUUAAUGCCGGAGUACCGCCCUGCAGCGAGCCCAACUUUUGAUAGUACGAAACAUUCUAAUUUUCAUAAGAAUAUAUUGCAAAAAUUUAAUUACUUGAAGUGAAAUUUGAAAUAAAUUUUAGGUUUUACAAGAUGGAU
rnacentral:lncRNA from 1 species